AUCCUUACUUGGCAUGGGAGAUACCAUGAUCAGGAAGGUGGUUUUCCCAGGGCGAGGCUUAUCCAUUGCACUCUGAAUGUGCUAACCCCUGCAAUUUCCCCAAAUGUGGGAAACUUGACUGCAUAAUUUGUGGUAGUGGGGGACUGCGUUCAUGCAGAA
ensembl:snRNA U1 U1 spliceosomal RNA